UUAUUUCGUAAAGCAAACAUUUCAUUGCAUACAGUUUCUUAUCUGAAUCGGAAACUGAAAUUAUCUGGUCUGAAAUCAGAUACAAGUUGUUGUUGCAAGUUGCAAGUGUGUAUGUAAUUUGUAACAGUCGGAACGUAUUCAGAUACUGGAAGUAUAAUUUCCUAAAACAUUUCGUCACCCACACGUGAGAGAAUUAUUAAUCGCAACAAUUUUUAAACGAUUACACGGAUGUAUACGGUGAUUACAACGCGAUGUCUCAAGAAAAACCCUGUCGUGCAUGUACAGAUUUUAAAACGUGGGCAAAAAUUCAAAAAAAGACAUUUGAAUCCGAAAAGGAAUCUGGGAAGAAGCAGGAGAAAAUUUCAUCUAUAAGUAAUAGACGUGACGAUUGUCCUUUGGAUAAGGAUGAAUUAGGUUCGAGAACGUGGUCGUUGUUGCAUACAAUGGCUGCGUAUUAUCCUGAUCAUCCAAACGAAGAACAAAAAUCAGACAUGAGAAACUUUUUUUAUACGUUUUCUAAAUUUUAUCCCUGUUAUGUAUGCGCAGAAGAUUUACGAGAACAAUUGAAACAGUCUCCGCCGCAGACAGACUCGCAAAAACAAUUAAGUUAUUGGCUUUGUGAUAUACAUAACGAGAUAAACGAGAAACUCGGAAAGCCAAGAUUCGAUUGUAAUCUUGUCGACCAAAGAUGGAAAGAUGGAUGGCUCGACGGUUCGUGCGACUAAUAACGAUUACCUUUCAUAUACGCGAUAAAAAAUAUUAUGAGAGCCGAACGUUGUACAUACUUAUUCGACUAGAAGAGAAAUAUUAUGUCUAAUCUGAUCACUGUUAGGAUCGUGAAGUAGGCGGUGGUAGAUGCGAAAUGGUAAAUGCAGAACAUGCCGUUCUAAUUUGUGGUUCGUAACUGUGGUCCUGUCCCUCGCCACCAAUGGGCAUUACCUGACACGUUCUAAUGUGA